rnacentral:tRNA from 1 species
GACUUAAUACUUUAAUAUAAAAGAUCUGAUUUGCAUUCAGAAAAUAAAUCUAUCAGAUUUUUAGGUCA